CCUGGCCGUAAACGAUGCAUACUAGGCAAUGCUCCGGCUAUGAGCCGCAUCAGUACCGUAGGGAAACCGUUAAGUGUGCCGCCUGGGAAGUACGGUCGCAAGGCUAAAACUUAAAGGAAUUGGCGGGGGAGCACCACAAGGGGUGAAGCCUGCGAUUCAAUUGGACUCAACGCCGGGAAACUUACCAGGGGUGACAGCAGAAUGACAGUCAGGUUGACGACCUUACUCGACGAGCUGAGAGGAGGUGCACGGCCGUCGCCAGUUCGUGCUGUGAGGUAUCCUGUUAAGUCAGGCAACGAACGAGAUCCGCGCCUUUAUUUGCCAUCAAGAAGUCACGACUUUAUUGGGAACACUAAAGGGACCGCCGUCGAUAAGACGGAGGAAGGAGCGGGCAAAGGCAGGUCAGUAUGCCCCGAAACCCCUGGGCUACACGCGGGCUGCAAUGGUGCGAACAAUGGGCUGUAACUCCGAAAGGAGAAACCAAUCCCGAAAUCGCAUCUCAGUGGGGAUUGUCGACUGUAACUCGUUGACAUGAACGUGGAAUCCCUAGUAAUCGCGUGUCACCAUCGCGCGGUG
rnacentral:rRNA from 1 species